AACGCUAGCUACAGGCUUAACACAUGCAAGUCGAGGGGCAUCAGGGGUAGCAAUACCGCUGGCGACCGGCGCACGGGUGAGUAACACGUAUCCAACCUACCGUUAACUCGGGGAUAGCCUUUCGAAAGAAAGAUUAAUACCCGAUAGUAUAUUUUCUUCGCAUGUUGAAAAUAUUAAAGAAUUUCGGUUAUCGAUGGGGAUGCGUUCCAUUAGGCAGUUGGCGGGGUAACGGCCCACCAAACCUACGAUGGAUAGGGGUUCUGAGAGGAAGGUCCCCCACAUUGGAACUGAGACACGGUCCAAACUCCUACGGGAGGCAGCAGUGAGGAAUAUUGGUCAAUGGACGCGAGUCUGAACCAGCCAAGUAGCGUGAAGGAUGACUGCCCUAUGGGUUGUAAACUUCUUUUAUAUGGGAAUAAAGUUCUCCACGUGUGGAGUUUUGUAUGUACCAUUAUGAAUAAGCAUCGGCUAACUCCGUGCCAGCAGCCGCGGUAAUACGGAGGAUGCGAGCGUUAUCCGGAUUUAUUGGGUUUAAAGGGAGCGUAGGUGGACUGGUAAGUCAGUUGUGAAAGUUUGCGGCUCAACCGUAAAAUUGCAGUUAAUACUGUCAGUCUUGAGUACAGUAGAGGUGGGCGGAAUUCGUGGUGUAGCGGUGAAAUGCUUAGAUAUCACGAAGAACUCCGAUUG
rnacentral:rRNA from 1 species